AGAGUUGCAUGCGUCAGACCCGAACCGGGUGAUCUAUCCAUGACCAGGUUGAAGGUGCGGUAACACGCGCUGGAGGACCGAACCCACGCCUGUUGAAAAGUCGGGGAUGAGUUGUGGAUAGGGGUGAAAGGCCAAUCAAACUCGGAAAUAGCUGGUUCUCCGCGAAAGCUAUUGAGGUAGCGCGUCGGAUGUUUACCACGGGGGGUAGAGCACUGGAUGGGCUAGGGGGCCGCGAGGUCUACCAAACCUAACCAAACUCCGAAUACCCGUGAGUACAGUCCGGCAGACAGACGGCGGGUGCUAACGUCCGUCGUCAAGAGGGAAACAACCCAGACCACCAGCUAAGGCCCCCAAAUCGUGGCUAAGUGGGAAAGGAUGUGGGAUAGCGUCGACAACCAGGAGGUUGGCUUAGAAGCAGCCAUCCUUUAAAGAAAGCGUAAUAGCUCACUGGUCAAGCCGUCCUGCGCCGAAGAUGUAACGGG
rnacentral:rRNA from 1 species